AGAGUUUGAUCAUGGCUCAGAGCGAACGCUGGCGGCGUGCCUAACACAUGCAAGUCGAACGUGAAAGAGGGCAACCUUGAGUAAAGUGGCGUACGGGUGAGUAACACGUAGGUAAUCUACCCCAGAAUCUGGAAUAACUUGCCGAAAGGCGGGCUAAUACUGGAUAGAGCGAUGGAAUCCGUAAUUGGGUUUUUCGGGAA
rnacentral:rRNA from 1 species